rnacentral:rRNA from 1 species
GGGGAAUAUUGGGCAAUGGGCGAAAGCCUGACCCAGCAACGCCGCGUGAGGGAAGAAGGUUUUCGGAUUGUAAACCUCUGUCGCAGAUGACGAAGGAAGUGACGGUAAUCUGUGAGGAAGCCCCGGCUAACUACGUGCCAGCAGCCGCGGUAAUACGUAGGGGGCGAGCGUUGUCCGGAAUUACUGGGCGUAAAGGGUGCGUAGGCGGCAUAUUAAGUUGGAUGUGAAAUGCCCGGGCUUAACUUGGGACUUGCAUUCAAAACUGGUAAGCUAGAGUACAGGAGAGGAAAGCGGAAUUCCUAGUGUAGCGGUGAAAUGCGUAGAUAUUUGGAGGAACACCGGUGGCGAAGGCGGCUUUCUGGACUGAAACUGACGCUGAGGCACGAAAGCGUGGGGAGCAAAC